GCCUUCGGGAACUCUGACACAGGUGCUGCAUGGCUGUUGUCAGCUCGUGUCGUGAGAUGUUGGGUUAAGUCCGUACGAGCGCAACCCUUGUCCUUAGUUACCAGCACGUUAUGGUGGGCACUCUAAGGAGACUGCCGGUGACAAACCGGAGGAAGGUGGGGAUGACGUCAAGUCAUCAUGGCCCUUACGGCCUGGGCUACACACGUGCUACAAUGGUCGGUACAAAGGGUUGCCAAGCCGCGAGGUGGAGCUAAUCCCAUAAAACCGAUCGUAGUCCGGAUCGCAGUCUGCAACUCGACUGCGUGAAGUCGGAAUCGCUAGUAAUCGUGAAUCAGAAUGUCACGGUGAAUACGUUCCCGGGCCUU
rnacentral:rRNA from 1 species